rnacentral:ncRNA from 1 species
CUAUGGUUAAGGAACUCGGCAAAAUAACCCCGUAACUUAGGGAGAAGGGGUGGUCUAGCGAUAGACCCGCAGUAAAGACGUCCAGGCAACUGUUUACCAAAAACACAGGUCUCUGCAAAGCCGUAAGGCGAAGUAUAGGGGCUGACACCUGCCCAGUGCUGGAAGGUUAAUAGGAGAGGUUAGUAUUUGACUUUGUCAACAUGAUACGAAGCUUUGAAUUGAAGCCCCAGUGAACGGCGGCCGUAACUAUAACGGUCCUAAGGUAGCGAAAUUCCUUGUCAGGUAAGUUCUGACCCGCACGAAAGGCGUAAUGAUCUGGAUACUGUCUCAACCAUAGACUCGGUGAAAUCUUAAUACCUGUGAAAAUGCAGGUUACCCGCGACAGGACGGAAAGACCCCAUGGAGCUUUACUGUAGCUUGAUAUUGAAAUUUGAUAUUCUUUGUAGAGGAUAGGUGGUAGACUUUGAUACUAGGACGCCAGUUCUAGUGGAGUCGCCCUUGGAAUACCACCCUUGGAAUAUUAGAUUUCUAACCUAGGACCGUGAUCCGGUUCGGGGACAGUGUCUGGUGGGCAGUUUGACUGGGGCGGUC